rnacentral:lncRNA from 1 species
AAAUAUAAUAUACGUUGAAAUAAUUUUAACAAGUUGUUUAUUCUUGCCACCAACAUAACAGCCUUAGUGGACAUCAGAGGGAAAAAAACUGAGAGGUAUCCUGGAAAAAAAAAAACUUUAGUAGCAUCAACACUAGUUUAGUAGCAUCAACACAAGGGACAUAUAGUUUAGUAGCAUCAACACUUGGGACAUCAAUAUCUAGUAACAAUGUGGCAAUAACAUUAAGUGCACGUGGUAAUGUUAUAUGUAUCUAUUCGAAACAAAUAUGUAUCGUAAAAUUUAAUAGUGUCAUUUGCCGGAGCGGGAUUGACACCUUGUAGCAAUUGUAAGACUAUAUCUUUUCAAAAUUAAUUUGUGAAUCAAAUGAUUACUUAUUUUCUAUUUUAUUUUGAGUUUUUAUGUGUUGACAACAAAUGAU